GAGUUUGAUCAUGGCUCAGGAUGAACGCUGGCGGCGUGCCUAAUACAUGCAAGUCGAGCGAACAGACGGGGAGCUUGCUCCCCUGACGUUAGCGGCGGACGGGUGAGUAACACGUGGGUAACCUACCUAUAAGACUGGAAUAACUCCGGGAAACCGGGGCUAAUGCCGGAUAACACGUUGGACCGCAUGGUCCUACAGUGAAAGACGGUCUUGCUGUCACUUAUAGGUGGACCCGCGCCGUAUUAGCUAGUUGGUAAGGUAACGGCUUACCAAGGCAACGAUACGUAGCCGACCUGAGAGGGUGAUCGGCCACACUGGAACUGAGACACGGUCCAGACUCCUACGGGAGGCAGCAGUAGGGAAUCUUCCGCAAUGGGCGAAAGCCUGACGGAGCAACGCCGCGUGAGUGAUGAAGGCCUUCGGUCGU
rnacentral:rRNA from 1 species